UACGAAGGGCUAGCGUAGUCUCGGAAUCACUGGGCGUAAAGCGCACGUAGGCGGAUUGUAAGUCAGGGGUGAAAUCCUGGAGCUCAACGUCCAGAACUGGCCUUUGAUACUGGCGACUGUCGAGUCCGGGAGAGGUGAGUGGAACUGCGAGUGUAGAGGUGAAAUUCGUAGAUAUUCGCAAGAACACCAGUGGCGAAGGCGCUCACUGGCCCGGUACUGACGCUGAGGUGCGAAAGCGUGGGGAGCAAACAGG
rnacentral:rRNA from 1 species